rnacentral:lncRNA from 1 species
CCCAGUCUCUCUCAGGUCCAGUCCCGUCUCUCUCAGGUCCCGUCCCCCAUCUCUCUCAGGUCCAGUCCCCAGUCUCUCUCAGGUCCGGUCCCGUCCCCACCAGAGCCAGCCAGUCAGUGCCGCGUGGCCUCUAUCGCCUCCUGGUGGACAGAGUGGAGGUAGUACGGCUCAGGCUGAGCCCAGGGAAGUGAACUGUAGGGGUUCUGGGUGUGGGACCGUAGAGACCCAGGUUACGGGCUGCAGAUGAACGUCUGUGCUGUUUCACACUCGGGAAGGGAGAGAACACCUGACGGGAGGUGGUCCUGGGAUGGUCCUGGGGCACGGAGGGGCAGGAGAGAGGGAGGGAGGGGGUAACGGGGCUGUGGGGGUUAGAGGUGGUCCUGGGAUGGUCCUGGGGCACGGAGGGGCAGGAGAGAGGGAGGGAGGGGGUAACGGGGCUGUGGGGGUUAGAGGUGGUCCUGGGAUGGUCCUGGGGCACGGAGGGGCAGGAGAGAGGGAGGGAGGGGGUAACAGGGCUACCAGGGCUGUGAGGGUUAGAGGGGGUAACGAGGCUGUGGGGGUUGAAGGGG